ACUUGAAAUAGUGUGAUUCUUGAACCAUUAGAAAGUUACAUGAAUAUCCUAAAACUUUGUAGUUAUGACCAAAAAUUGAUUUUUUUAGCAGCAUGGUGAAAUUCUUGCAUUUCCUAUCACUACUCUGACUGUGACUGGAGUCUAGAAUAGUUUGUACACUUUUAUUCAUAACUUGAGUUGUAGCCUUAUACAUAACUUGAGUUGUGGCCCUGAUUUUGAUAUGAUUCAAAUUGGAGACUGAAAUGAACAUAUGAAAGUUUAUUUCUAGAAAAGAUGCCAUAAAGCCCUUGCUGCUAGAAUUUUUGGUGAAAUUUUAACUUUGCUGCCCUGCUCACCUGAAUUUGACUAGAAAUUUACGACAACAAUGAUUCAUAGGCUUAAAAUUUGCAUUUUAUAAUUUCAAAUGACAUGAAAUUUAUGGCAAAUGAAAGUUAAGACAUAAGGCUAAAACUUUUAUGAGGAAUGCUGUCCAAAAAUUAUGGGUAAAUAACCUUAAAAUUUACUAAAAGAUAGGGCACAGAAUCUAGAACCUGGUAGGAGUGCAUUCUGGACUAUCCAGAGUAAAAAGGGUAUACCUUACCCUAGGAAACUCCAAAUGAGGUGAUUCUUAUUUUGUUGAAAAGUUAAAAUCUGAGGGAUCAACUUUCAUGAAGAAUGAAUUGGCAAAAUCUAAUUGUAAGUUGUUCAAAUCUAGACUCCAAUAUGUGUUUAGAAUCUGCCCUUUUAUUGGUGAAGUUGAAAUUUUACUUAAGGACAGCUAUUGAUUAAUUGAACAUAACUUUUGAUCCUUGAAUCCAAAUUAAAUUAUUCAAAAACUUUAUUAAAGUUAAGACAUAGAUUUAAAAAUCUCAUGAAGAAAGUUGAAUUUAAUUCUGUAAUUACUAGAUCAAAAUGCUUCAACAAAGUAAUGCAUAAAGUCUGAUUUUUCUUGAAAUUUGACAAUAGUCAUCAUAUGCAUAAAUUUUUGUAUAAAUGUAUGAACUUUAAAUGCAUGCAAUAUGAAAGUGUGGUAAUGGCAAAGGUUUAGGUGCAUAUAAGCAUUGUUGAUUACAUCAUGUGAAAAUUAAAAAAAAAAAUAAUUGCCUUCUUAAGCUCAAGUAAACCUAGACAGUAAAUUAUAGUUUUGGAUGGAUUGACAUGCCAACGGGGACAUCAUUAGCAGUACUGCAUUAAUUAUAUUACUAGAUUGAUAAAUGUCUAUUAGAGGCAUCGAGUGCCCAUUGUUGAACCGGUCAGAGACACCAAGUGUUCAGUACCGGGAGCUCCAUAUCUAGACAGUUAUAUAGAGCCACCGAGUAUCCAUUGUUAAAUCGGCUAGAGGCACCUAGUGUUCAAUAUCGGGAGUCCCAUAUUCAGUCCAUAUAAUUUUGUCAUAGGUUACUGUAGGCACAUGACAAAUCUUAAAAUGUGAUUUUAAUUAAGAAAAUGCACAUAAAAAUAAUAAGAACUAUGUUAAACCUUGAACAUUAUUUAUAAAAUUUCUUAUAAUAUAUAUACAAGUUUUGCUUUUAUUCUUUUUAAAUUAUUAGUGCACCAUUAAGCUGUGAAGCUUAGCGCGUAUGUUUUUCCUUUCGCAGGUACAGAAGGUAAAGAGUAGAUAGCUAAAGACAGGAGAGAAGGGAGUGGAUCUGCAGGAAAGUCCAAAGUCACCUCAUACUUGGACUUUGUGGUAGAUGCACUACCAACACUAGAUACAUUUUGUCACUCUUUUUUAUAUUCCCAUUUGCCAUGUACUAAAAACACAUGAUGUAAAUUUAUUUUGGAUGACUAUAAAUUAAGUACAAACAUACUUUGUUACAUUUACAAAUCUAUGUUUGAAUAUAUGUUAUGUAAAUAUUCACAUAUGAUGAAGAAAUGAAUUUGAUUACAAGUAUAAUGAGAGUUGAUUAACAAUAUUGUUGCAAUUGAAAAUAUGAUUAUUAAUAGGUGUUAUUAACAGGUGAAUGUUAAAAGUUUAGGGAAAACUCUUGCAGUUUUUCCUUUUGAAAUUUAUGACUAAAAAUUAAAAGUAAACACAAAUUAAGUAAAUUAUUCAAAUAUAAGUUUAGGUACUCCAUGCACAGAAUGUGGUAUUCCUUUGCUUGGUUUCACUGUAGGUCAGGUAGGGGGUGUUACAAAAAAACUUCAGUUUUCGUAGGUCUAUACACCUACCCAUGUUUG
rnacentral:misc_RNA from 1 species